rnacentral:lncRNA from 1 species
UAAACUCUCAACCCUAAACUGUAAAUACUAAUCCCUGAACACUAAACCCUAAUCCAUAAAAAGUAAAUUCUAAACCCUAAAUCCUAAACACUAAACACUAAACUCUAAACCCUACACACCAAACUCUACACCCUAAACACGAAAUCCUAAACUCCAAUCCCUAAAUUCUAAACCCUAAACCCUAAACUCUAAACCUUGAACACGAAACCCAAAACAGUUAACUCUAACAUUAGAACCCGAAACUGUAAACCCUAAACCCUAAACUCUAGAACCUUAAAACUCUAAACUCUAAACACUAA